UGGUCCCGCGGAGGGGAGGUGCCGCCCGGUAGGGAGGCGGGGCUCCCGGAGGGCACCGCUGGGGACCUGCCCCCGGGGGCCACCCCGGGUGCCUCCCACCGGCUCGUCGUCCUCCGCGUCGUCUUCCCGCUUUCCUGUUUGCCCCGUUUUCAUCCACCUUCAGAUAUGUGGCCUUGGACCAGGUCCUUGAUUGUAGCCUCAGUCUCCCAUCUGUAAAAUGGGAUAACAGCCGUUCAUUUGUUCCAACCUUUACUGGGCUUCUCUGGGCCAAGCGCAGACUUAGGUUCUGGGGAUACAGGACAAGCAGUCCCGUCCUUCUGGGACGGGAUGAAAACGAGGCGAGGAGCUAGUGUGUUGUAAAUGGAAAAUGCUGUGUGGAUGUUAGUUAGCAGCAAGUCGCCAUGAGGGUCUGCGUUCAUUGCCCUUCUUCCUUCUUCUUUGGGAACUAUUGAGAUUUAUUGGCAAAUUCUAGAACCCGCAGUCCCUGCAGGAAUAUAUUCAGGACCAACGCGGCGCCGAGAGCCUGGAGAAGAUAACCCACCUAAAAAAUAACAGCCUGAGUCUGGAUCACAGAAUCUGGCUCCCACCAUCGCUAAUGAAGUGAACAAAAGAGUCGCAUAAAUCAGCAAAAGAAAGAAAGAACUAAAAACUUAAGUACAGCUUUGUGCUACAAAUGUCAAAAACGGUACUCAGUGAACUAGAAGCCCGCUGCCGAUCACGGCAUCUGAAUCUCAUUCCCAUUCCGCACAAAUCCCUACCAGGGAAGGAAACCAAGUAGACAAAAUACCACGAGUUUUUGGUGACUCCACCGAGCGGGAGGGUGAGCACAGAAGCAAACCACCAGGGAAACGCAGGGGAGACAAAACUAUUGUGAAUAGAAAGCGGCCCCUGCUGCCCCAGGACCCGACCAGAGCUGGGAAAAAGCACUAGGGCUUGCCACUUUCUAGGCCUUUGCACCGAGUUGAGGCAGAGAUUCAAAGUCCAAGGACAUUUUUGUCACAGGGACUGGGUAGGCUUCUAACAAGGGUGGGGGCAGGAGUUUAGCAGAAUUGCACUCUUGCACACAGCCAGGGGGCCAGCCCUAGUCCUCACUGUAUAUACAUACAGGUCAUGGAAACAUGGGUAAAAAUGCAAUCUUCCAGCUCUCAAACUCGUUCAGGUACAGUGAGAAAGCAGCCGAGGAAAAUCUGUUCACAUAUUUGAACAAAUAGAAGGUUUUACAAAGAGCAAUCCAUUUUAAUAUGAACAAGACAGAAGCAGUAAGUCCACUACCCAAGCUGAAGGCUUUCGUAACAGGGGAAGCAAUAAAAAAAGAAUUACAGUGCGGGCGAGACAGAUGAAGAACCUAGCCCGGAAGAAAAUGUAAGCAAAGAGAAGAAAAUUCGUCACAUGUGUCCCAGGUUCUAGAACAAAUUAAUAUGACCAUUAGCUGAAGAGAAUAAGGGCUGAAAGAAAUGAUGAAAUGGCACAAUGAGAAGAGAAGGAUUCUACAGCUAAGGCAACGAAACGAAAAUCAGAAACACCCACCAGAGAAACCAAAUUAGAAAGACCAAGAAAUAGACUGGGCGGCAUGUCCGUCCACUGGAGUAACACUCAGCCACACGAAGGCAUGAGUGGCCAACACCUGCAGCAACGUGGAGGAACCCUGAAGACCUUAGGCGAAGGAAGACAGGCCGGGUACCAAAGGACAGAUCCUGCGUGGCGUCCCUUCGCAUGACAUCCCUAUUGUGGCAAAUUUACAGAGACAGAGUCAAUGCAGAAGAGGACGCAGCUCUCCAGCCUACUGCUCGAGGAGUUUUCCCAGUCUGCAAACACUCAUAAGUACAUCGACCGAGACACAGACGAGCAGGAUCCCCCAAGUGCUCUGUGCCCUUCCUAAUCGCAUCCUGUGUCGUUUCCCCACAGGCAGGCAUUACCCGACUGACGCCAAUGAGUACUUCUCCCUUAUAAAGGAAGACUUUGUGAAGUUGUCCUGAGGAAGAGAGAGAGAGAGGAGAGGGAGAGGGAGAGUGAGAUCUCCAGUUUUUCGAGUGGCAGUUUUUGUUGUUCCACACGCUUACCAACACUUGGAAUUUCCUGUCUUUUUUCUUUGAAAUCGUGGUGUCGUCAUCUCCUUGUGUUUGUGAUUGGCAUUUCUCGGAUGGGUCACGGUGCUGAGAACCUUUUCACGUGCCCGUCUGGCCCUUUGGAUAUCCUUUGUUGUGUUUUCGUGAAGCACCAGUGGAAAUCACUGAGCAAACUUUCACUAGAAUUCCGUCUUUUCCUUACCCAUUUUUAGAAGAUAUUUGCACAUUCUGACAUCAGCCCACGUUUAAUAUAUUUAUUGAGAAUAGCUCCUGUCACCACAUGGUUUGCUUUUUCUCUCUCUUAAUGAUGUCUUCUGGUGAAUAGCAUCUCCUAAUUUUAAUAAAGCCUAACAUAUCCA